ACAAAUUGGAUGUCAACCGCAGUUAAACCUCAUAAAAACCUCGGAAAAACCUUUGUUUAUUAUUUUCAAGAUGGCGGCGGGAAUGUAUUUAGAACAUUACCUUGACAGUAUAGAAAAUCUGCCGUUUGAGCUACAGAGGAAUUUCACUCUUAUGAGAGACCUGGACACACGGACAGAGGAUCUGAAAGGGCAGAUAGACUCUUUGGCUCGUGAGUACACGUCAAACACACACACCCUCUCCUCUGAGCAGAAGCUCUCCCUGCUCCGGCAGAUCCAGCAGUCAUAUGGCAAGUGUAAAGAGUUUGGAGAUGAUAAGGUCCAACUGGCCAUGCAGACCUAUGAGAUGGUGAGUAGGACCUUAAGAUGGAUACAGUAGACUGGGAAUAGAAGCGCUGCUUGGGGUCCAUACUAGUAAUGAGGAAAGGAAAGGUGUUCCUUGGAGAGAGGUUUACCUCAGGUUGCAGGUGGACAAACACAUUCGCAGGCUGGACACAGACCUGGCCCGCUUCGAGGCAGACCUGAAGGAGAAAAAGAUUGAGAGCACAGACUAUGACUCAACCUCCAGUAAGGGAAUCAAGAGUGAGCUCAGGGGACCAAAAGAGAAGAAGGUGGCUCGCACAAGGUUAAAGGUGAAGUCAGACGACGACUGCAGCCCCAAAAGCGGACAGAAGAAAGUCAAACUAACACAAGUGCCUGAGUUCACAGCCCCUACAGUGAACUUUGGGAACGUCCACCCCUCGGACGUGCUAGACAUGCCCGUGGACCCCAACGAGCCCACCUACUGUCUGUGUCACCAAGUGUCCUACGGAGAGAUGAUUGGCUGUGACAACACAGACAGAGAAGCAAUGACAUCACGUCCUGAGAUGACGGAAUUGAAAUGAACCCCAACCCUGAUUGGGUCAACUAUUCACUAUGAUCCAAAUCCUAACCUGAUAUCUGGGCACUAGAAUGUUCCUAUAAAAAAUACCACAUUGACAUGAAUGUGUGAUUUUACCUAAAAGUUUGAUUUAUAAAAUAGUGUUUAGAAAUGAGCGAUGGCUUUGGAAUUUUUGGCACUUAAAUCAAAGAUGAAUUAAGUAAAACCUAAAUAAAGGCUAGUUCAUUUUGGCCCACUAGAGGGCAGUAAAGCAUUAUAAGUCUCUCCCGGCACUAAUGGAAUACUAAGCAGAAUGUAUUGUGUUGGACUCAUUGCAGUGCUCCAUUGAGUGGUUCCACUUCGCCUGCGUGGGGCUGACAACAAAACCCAGAGGAAAAUGGUACUGUCCAAGGUGUACUCAGGAGAGGAAGAAAAAAUGAACCCAGAGACAAUCAUAACCAACAAUCAUAAUGCUAGAGUUUACAAAGGAGGGUUCAGUGUUUGUAUUGGAACAUGGGGAAACCCUCCAUCAACACUAACAUGGACCCCCGCACGGUCAUGUUUAAUAGGUCACACUGUCGCAAAUUGUCAAAACCAAAAUGAGCAUUUCCUAUUGGACAAGUCCAGAGUAGCCCCUUCCCUGUAUCAGUCCAUAUUCUUCAGUUCAGUGUCUAAUGAACACGACCCCCCCCCCCCCCACACACACACACACACAGUAUUAGGGUCCUGCUGGUCUGCCAUCCUGUAUAAUUCUCUUUGUUAAACAGAAAGAAGCAAUGAUGGACAUUUGACAGAGGUGAAGUUACAGACGCUCCCCAAUCAUGACUAUUAUGUUGCAUUUUAUUUUUGAACUUUUUUUGACAGUUGCUUUAAUGCCUUUAUAUGCAGAGUAAUACAGGGACGUAUACCCUUAUUUUACAGCCGGUGGUUCUAUAUGGCUCUCAGCCACUCGGUUGCUUCAUGACAGACUAACAGCGACUCCUACUGGAUGCUUUUAUACUGAACACUAUUCAGCCCUGAUACACGCAGAUCACAUGUGUUAACUCUUAUUUUCCAACUGUUAUCUUAAUUCAACCCUGGUUAUUUCCAUAUCAGACUUUUGGGGGACAGAACAUUUAUUGAUUAAGCAGAGUCAUUGAUUUAGUUGAUAGAUUUGACUCAAUGAGAAUAUACAGAUCUAGAUGUCCUAGUUCAGAAUGCAGUCGGAAGCAAACUGGACAGAAUUUCUCUCGCACAUUCGCUUAAACAGCAAUGACCUGAAUUGCAGGUUUUUUGCACAAAAUUAGUGCGCUGGAAAUGGAAUUGCUUAAAGGAAUGUAGAUGCUAACACUUUCAAAUAUAUAUGGAUAUUUUGAUAGGCCCCAACUCGCAUCAUUCAACAAUGUCCUGUAUAUUUCUAUUAUGGAGAGGCAUAUCUUUGACUGGCUGUGUUUAUGAAGAGCCUUAUUGAUCAUUACUGUAAGAAUAACCAUUUAAAUGUGCUUAAAAGUAUCAGGGUUACCUGAUACUUUGCCCAGUAGGUUUUGACUGGUGCCUCAAGAAUAUUAUUUCAAGUUAAACUAAUGAACAUUUAUUUUGUUGCCAUUUACUUUUUGUAUUUGGUGUUUUUCCAUUAUGCAAUAAAGCUUAAAAAAAAAGAAGCAAAAUGACA